GCCUGGCUGGCUCAGUCGGUUGAGCGUCCGACUUCGGCUCAGGUCAUGAUCUCACGGUCCGUGAGUUCGAGCCCCGCGUCAGGCU
rnacentral:tRNA from 1 species